rnacentral:rRNA from 1 species
GGGGGGGUUGCCUAUACAUGCAGUCGAGCGAAUCGAUGGGAGCUUGCUCCCUGAGUAUUAGCGGCGGACGGGUGAGUAACACGUGGGCAACCUGCCUAUAAGACUGGGAUAACUUCGGGAAACCGGAGCUAAUACCGGAUACGUUCUUUUCUCGCAUGAGAGAAGAUGGAAAGACGGUUUACGCUGUCACUUAUAGAUGGGCCCGCGGCGCAUUAGCUAGUUGGUGAGGUAAUGGCUCACCAAGGCGACGAUGCGUAGCCGACCUGAGAGGGUGAUCGGCCACACUGGGACUGAGACACGGCCCAGACUCCUACGGGAGGCAGCAGUAGGGAAUCUUCCGCAGGGGACGAAAGUCUGACGGAGCAACGCCGCGUGAACGAAGAAGGCCUUCGGGUCGUAAAGUUCUGUUGUUAGGGAAGAACAAGUACCAGAGUAACUGCUGGUACCUUGACGGUACCUAACCAGAAAGCCACGGCUAACUACGUGCCAGCAGCCGCGGUAAUACGUAGGUGGCAAGCGUUGUCCGGAAUUAUUGGGCGUAAAGCGCGCGCAGGUGGUUCCUUAAGUCUGAUGUGAAAGCCCACGGCCUCACCCGUGGAGGGUCAUUGG